GACGAACGCUGGCGGCGUGCUUAACACAUGCGAGUCGAACGGAAAGGCCCUGCUUUUGUGGGGUGCUCGAGUGGCGAACGGGUGAGUAACACGUGAGUAACCUGCCCUUGACUUUGGGAUAACUUCAGGAAACUGGGGCUAAUACCGGAUAGGAGCUCCUGCUGCAUGGUGGGGGGUGGAAAGUUUCGGCGGUUGGGGAUGGACUCGCGGCUUAUCAGCUUGUUGGUGGGGUAGUGGUUUACCAAGGCUUUGACGGGUAGCCGGCCUGAGAGGGUGACCGGCCACAUUGGGACUGAGAUACGGCCCAGACUCCUACGGGAGGCAGCAGGGGGGAAUAUUGCACAAUGGGCGGAAGCCUGAUGCAGCAACGCCGCGUGCGGGAUGACGGCCUUCGGGUUGUAAACCGCUUUCGCCUGUGACGAAGCGUGAGUGACGGUAAUGGGUAAAGAAGCACCGGCUAACUACGUG
rnacentral:rRNA from 1 species